rnacentral:tRNA from 1 species
CCUCCUGUAGUGUAGCUCGGCCAAUCAUACCGCCUUCUCACGGCGGUGACUCGGGUUCGAAUCCCGACGGGAGGG